UGCUUAUCCCGAUAUCCUCGCUAAUCAUUUUCUCCCGGCCACGCCUGCUCACCAUGGUGAUUUCUACGUGCAUGGUGGCCGAUUCCCAUGCUCCCUGACUUUCCCACAUGCCGAUUGUCACCGUGAUGUGAUAAAAGCCCUAUCCCUAUCUCUCGUAUACAAUGUUGUGGUUGCGAUAGGGCUGUGUUGUGUUAGUUUGCGAGGUGGUUUACACUUUUUGAGCUUAGUAGCCUUCUGAUGCUGGUUUUUGGCAAUGGUAAGAGGGUUUUUUAUGAUGACACGGGAGGAAGAAGUUGAUAGACACAAUCGUAGGGAAAAUAAAGGAGUAUAAAUAUAUAAGGGAACAUAUAAAAACAGUUAAGGGCCAGAUGGGUCCUCCAAGAAGAAGCCACAUGUCUUUUUUUGCAUUGCCAUGUGUUAGUUGGUUUGUUUUUAUGUAAUACACAAAACAUAAAAUAGCUCUAGAAUAAAUAAAAUAAACCAUAAUAAAUGGUUAGAAUGAAUAUAACUAGGAGGAUUUUCCGCGCAUUGCCACAGAUAUGAAGAAGAAAUAUAAAUAGGUUCGAAUAUUAAUCACUAAGAAUCAGAAGAUGUAUAUGUAUGGUGUUGGUAAUGCAGCAAUAUCUUAAAUAAAGACAUAAUGACAUGCAUUAGUCUCUACUACACAAAAUAUUUACUGAAACGGGCAAAACUGAUUAACCGAGACGGUUAUCAUAACCGCCUCGGACAAAAGGUCACAAUAAAUAGGACCUUUUCCGAGGCGGUUGUUUGCCCGCCUCGGUUAAACGCGUAGAAAAAAACAAAAAAAAAAGAAAACACGAGGAUAAGCCCGCUAAGCCCAUCCACGGGCCCGCAGAGCCCAUCCAUGGACCGCUGCCGCCAUUGCUAGCUAGAGGAGCGUUGCCGGCCUCACUCAUCGGAUCCGCCUCCCUACCACUGGAUCCAGCAGCCUCGCCGCCGGAUCUGGCCUGGCCUGCUGUGCAUCCGCCAUAGGUAAGUGGGCCCACCAGAGAUCCGGCCACCCUCCAUUGGAUCCAGCCACCAACGGCAUGGAUCCAGCCACCACGUAUGUAGUCGGAGGAGGAGAUGGGGGAGUAGGACGCGCGAUGCCGGUGUAGGAGCGCCGGGGAAGGAAGGAGCCUGCUGUGGAUCCAGCAGCCUCACCGCCGGGGAAGGAAGCUUUGCCACCGGAUCAUGCCCGCGCCUAUG
rnacentral:lncRNA from 1 species